rnacentral:rRNA from 1 species
UACGUAGGGGCAAGCGGUUGUCCGGAUUAUUGGGCGUAAGAGCGUGUAGGCGGCUAGAUAGGUCCGUUGUGAAAAACUCGAGGCUCACCUCGAGACGUCGAUGGAAACCAUCUGGCUAGAGUCCGGGAAAGAGGGAGAGUGGGAAAAUUUUCCUGGGUGUAGCGGGUGAAAUGCGCAGAUAUCAGGAAGAAACACCGUGGCGAAGGCGGCUCUCUGGUACGUGACUGACGGCUGAGACGCGAAAGCGUGGGAGCAAACAGGG